ACAAUUAUCUGGUGUCGAUCUACGAUGUGUGCAUCUCGUCGAUCUUGUCGAUUGCAAACAACAAAGCUUUGCUGUUGCAGGCCCAAUUUAGCUAUGGCCCUCUCAGCCCGAUACCAGCGCGGCCCAAGCCCAAGCACUCUCUGCGGCGGCGGCGGCGAGAAGUUCUUCCCCCGUUCCCAUCGCCGCCGCCGUCGCCGCCGCCGUUUCUUGGGGACCCUCGCAGCAGCAGCGCGCACGAUGCCCUUCGGUAAAGAUUCCCCCUCGGCCGCGUUCCCGGCUCAAGACGAUGGUCAGGCGCGCGCGCCGUUCUUGCGGCAUCGCCAGGCGGCGCGUCGACCGCCGACGCUUCCGUAAUGCAGGAUAUUUUGAGAAACUACUGAUUACUGAAUAGGCGAAGGAUAGCUCUACAACUCCUUGCUUAUUGUGACUUGUGACUAUGAAACUGUUCUGCAGAGACUAGUAGGGAAGUACUUGCAAUUUAUCUGCUAUACCUUUGUUCAGUGUUUGAUAACAAACCUGCUUUUUAGGGAUGACAUAUUUAUACUUCCCCACCCUGUUGGUUUAAGAUGAUGGUCCUAUUCCUCAACUGUCCAUUCUAGAUACAUACAAAUAUAGAUACAAGUGCAAUGAUUUAGGGAGACAGCGUACCAUGAAUACAAGUUCUAGAGCACAUUUUAACAGACAUUGUUUUACCAAUAAAAAUCCUCAAUUAAAUAGAAAAGUUUAUGCUUGAUUCUUUAGGACUUAUUUAUUUCAUGUAUCAAAGUUCUUUUAAGUUUAAAAUUAACCUGAUUGUUUAAACAUGAAAUGCGCUCCUGUUAGACACUUAACGCCGAACCCUUAUGCAUACUUGGAUUGUUAGUUACUAUUCGUACCAGAGACAGGAUACAGGAAGAGGCAAGCACACUAGACAAGAAUGCAGUAACAACGAUGUCUCUAGAGAUGGGCAUCAGAUACUUCCAGAUAGAACAGUCAAUGAGGUAGUUACAUUUCGUGCUGCAAAGAACAAGCGUAUCUGAGCUGUUUCGUAGGGCUUUGUCAGGCAGUCAGGCUACAAUCUGAAGGUUUUCAGUGUGGCAGCUCAUAUAUUGGGCGUGGCUGAACUCUAAACCAUGCCGCUUUUAUCAACUCUCACCAAAUGUUCUCAUUUCCCUACUACUUAAGGCAUGCAGAGGGUGGUGUAGUAGGAUGGUAGUACUUGGCCUUUGCAAAUCCAGUCUGACUCCCAUGGACGGAAACAAAACCUGUCAGUCAGUGAGUGAGACCAUAAGUCAUGACUAACCUUAGACAAAAUUGAAAUCCCUUCAUUGCCAAUGCAGAAAGAGCUGUAGCUUCAAACAAAG